rnacentral:rRNA from 1 species
UACGGGGGGGGCAAGCGUUGUUCGGAAUUACUGGGCGUAAAGGGCUCGUAGGCGGCCAACUAAGUCAGACGUGAAAUCCCUCGGCUUAACCGGGGAACUGCGUCUGAUACUGGAUGGCUUGAGGUCGGGAGAGGGAUGCGGAAUUCCAGGUGUAGCGGUGAAAUGCGUAGAUAUCUGGAGGAACACCGGUGGCGAAGGCGGCAUCCUGGACCAAUUCUGACGCUGAGGAGCGAAAGCCAGGGGAGCAAACGGG